UUUGGUACCUUAAAACAUGCAUGUCUUUUGCCUUUCCUUUCCUUAAUCUUUAGGUCUAUGGAAGGGGAAAAACAUAUUUUUCUUCUUCUAUCUUUCCUAGUUUCCCUUCCUGGAAAAGGCAAAAGAAAAUUCUUCAUUUGUUGCUUUUCUGGCAUGUUGGUUUGAGAGGUUGAAGCUGCCAGCAUGAUCUGCUUCAAUCACUCACUCACCAACAAGAUUAACUUUCCAGCUAGCUAUGGAUAUUUCAGAUUUUUCUCUCUCUCGAAUUAGACCUUCACUCCAGACAGAGUGGGACUGGGAAAUCAAUAUGAUAGAUCAGAAUUAACAAGUAAAACAAAAUCCCAUUCGGCAAGACAAGACAAGAUUGUUAAUCGAGCAAUGCAUUAACAUUGUGACAGUGAUGUUAGGGGACCAGCUUGAGGUUUCAUGACCCACCAAUUUUAACUCAAUUCAUUAUAAUAUAGUACCAGGAUUAAUUAUCUACUAUAUAUGUAAAUGUCAAUGUAUAUGUAUAUGUAUAGGUAUGUAUAAUGUAUUGAACCUGUGGAUAUAUAAAUCCUAUAUCAGAAACAAUG